rnacentral:rRNA from 1 species
UGGGGAAUAUUGCGCAAUGGGCGAAAGCCUGAUCCAGCCAUGCCGCGUGAGUGACGAAGGCCUUAGGGUUGUAAAACUCUUUCGUCGGGGACGAUAAUGACGGUACCCGAAGAAGAAGCUCCGGCUAACUUCGUGCCAGCAGCCGCGGUAAUACGAAGGGAGCUAGCGUUGUUCGGAAUCACUGGGCGUAAAGCGCACGUAGGCGGAUAGUUAAGUCAGGGGUGAAAUCCUGGGGCUCAAUCCCAGAACUGCCUUUGAUACUGGCUGUCUCGAGGUCGAGAGAGGUUGGUGGAAUUCCUAGUGUAGAGGUGAAAUUCGUAGAUAUUAGGAAGAACACCAGUGGCGAAGGCGGCCAACUGGCUCGAUACUGACGCUGAGGUGCGAAAGCGUGGGGAGCAAACAGGAUUAGAUACCCCCGUAGUCCCUGAGCGGGCUGGCAAGGCGCAU